rnacentral:piRNA from 1 species
UGAAUUUCAACAGAGAUGGCA